rnacentral:rRNA from 1 species
AUUGAACGCUGGCGGCAGGCCUAACACAUGCAAGUCGAGCGAGCGGCGGACGGGUGAGUAAUGUCUGGGAAACUGCCUGAUGGCGGGGGAUAACUACUGGAAACGGUAGCUACUACCGCAUACCAUCUGAUGUGCCCCUAUGGGAGUAGCUAGUAGGGGGGGUAAUGGCUCACCUAGGCGACGAUCCCUAGCUGGUCUGAGAGGAUGACCAGCCACACUGGAACUGAGACACGGUCCAGACUCCUACGGGAGGCAGCAGUGGGGAAUAUUGCACAAUGGGCGCAAGCCUGAUGCAGCCAUGCCGCGGGGGUGAAGAAGGCCUUCGGUUGGUAAAGCACUUUCAGCGGGGAGGCGUUACCCGCAGAAGAAGCACCGGCUAACUCCGUGCCAGCAGCCGCGGUAAUAC